CCAGUCUCUCACUUUGCCUUCACUACUCGUGUUCUCAUUGACUUCCUAUUCAUUGUCUUCCUCUGAUAGCAAACCUAGAGCUUAUCUACAGCCACAAGCUCUGACCUCUCCAAACAUACCUAAGGCUCCACCUGGGACCAGGAUCCUUGGCACUGAGUAAAGAACCAGAAAUAAUCCAUCCAAAGCUUUCAAUGUAAAGAAGAAUAGCAUUCCUAUGUAUAUAAGGAUGUGGGCAGCAUGGAUAAGAAACGUGUUUCCCCAUAGCAACUGUAUCCUCAGCCCUGCUGGUAAGUCAGCACAGACCUCUUCCCCAGGAAGAUGACCAGGAGAUGACCUAAUUAUGUCCAAUCACAGUAUUAUUUUCUGUUAAUUUUCAUAUGAAUUCAAAUGUGACUCGAGAACCAUGGUAAAUAUUCCAAUGGAAAUGUUUACAGAAAUAAAGAAUCAAAC
rnacentral:lncRNA from 1 species